CCUACGGGAUGCAGCAGUGAGGAAUAUUGGUCAAUGGACGCAAGUCUGAACCAGCCAUGCCGCGUGCAGGAUGACGGCUCUAUGAGUUGUAAACUGCUUUUGUACGAGGGUAAACCCCGAUACGUGUAUCGGGUUGAAAGUAUCGUACGAAUAAGGAUCGGCUAACUCCGUGCCAGCAGCCGCGGUAAUACGGAGGAUCCGAGCGUUAUCCGGAUUUAUUGGGUUUAAAGGGUGCGUAGGCGGUUUGAUAAGUUAGAGGUGAAAUGUCGGGGCUCAACCCCGAAACUGCCUCUAAUACUGUCGGACUAGAGAAUAGUUGCGGUAGGCGGAAUGUAUGGUGUAGCGGUGAAAUGCUUAGAGAUCAUACAGAACACCGAUUGCGAAGGCAGCUUACCAAACUAUAUCUGACGUUGAGGCACGAAAGCGUGGGUAGCAAACAGGAUUAGAUACCCUUGUAGUC
rnacentral:rRNA from 1 species